UACAAUUUUUGACUCUUCAUCUUAUUUAAAAUUUUUUACGAUUGAUAUUUUUGUUUUUAUUAGAUGAUAAAUCAUGAAUAGUACUUUACGUGUGACUAAUUUUUUUCUAAUUUUCUCAAAAUUUUUCAAAUAAGACGGAUGGUCAAACGUUGGAUACGGAAACC
rnacentral:pre_miRNA from 1 species